UACGGCGGUCAUAGCGUGGGGGAAACGCCCGGUCCCAUUCCGAACCCGGAAGCUAAGACUCAUUGCGCCGAUGGUACUGCAUGCGGGAGCGUGUGGGAGAGUAGGUCGCCGCCGGAC
rnacentral:rRNA from 2 species